rnacentral:rRNA from 1 species
CACGUAGGCACCAAGCGUUGUCCGGAUUUAUUGGGCGUAAAGAGCUCGUAGGCGGUUCGGUAAGUCCGCUGUGAAAGUCGGGGGCUCAACCCUCGAAUGCCGGUGGAUACUGUCGGGCUAGAGUGCGGAAGAGGCGAGUGGAAUUCCUGGUGUAGCGGUGAAAUGCGCAGAUAUCAGGAGGAACACCGAUUGCGAAGGCAGCUCGCUGGGACGUAACUGACGCUGAGACGCGAAAGCGUGGGGAGCAAACAGG